AACGUUUCCACACCAAACACAACUUUAGAGCAAAUAAGGAGAACAAGUAAAAUAAAAUUGAUUUGGAAUUUAUCUUAAAAGGGUUGAUUUCAAAGAAAUUUAGAAGUUUUCCAACUAAGAAAACGAGUGAGAAAGCAUGUUCUAGAGAAAGGCGCGACACGUGCCAAUUGUCGGUGAGCUGUUUCCAUUCACAGUGGGGUCCACACGCCCCUCCAAAACUACUAUAUAUAAGAUUCACCCCUUCACUAUAUCUAUCAAGAAGCACUCGGCCUUCUCUCUUGCUUUAUUUUUCUCUUUUUAGUUCAUAACUGGUGUGCGCUUCUGUAUCCUUCGCUAAUGGCGCAAGUUAGCAUCGUCAGAGCCUUGAUGCUCGUCUUCGUGGUCGCGAUCUUCUCCGCGGCCGCUACAGUUUCCACGCAAGAUGUUUCUCCGGCGCCGGCUCCGUCUCCAGACGCCGGAUCAGCGUUCUCUGUACCUUUCCCGUACGCUGUGAUUGCCUCCUCUCUCAUCUUGUCUCUUUUCGCUCUCUUGAAGCCUUGAGUCACGAUCUAUAAUACAUUUGUAGUUUGCAUCUAGAUGAUCUUGCAGAGUCAUUGUAUCGAAUUCCUUAUUUUUUAUUUAUUUAUCACAUAUAAAUGAAUAAAUUUAUAUUUGGCCCAAAUCAUUUGGAUAGCUUGAUUCAUCUGACAUUUUUCAUUCGGACAAAAAAAAAAAACGAAGGUAGGGAGAAACAGGAGGAAGUAGUAUUUGUAUGUCCUAUCUACAGAAAAAGAAAGGAAAAUUGAAUAUGAAUAAUUUUAAUUCUGGUAUCAAAAUCAAUAAAUGUUAUAAAAUUAUUAAGUUUUUAGGAAGAUAUCGUGCAUGUAGACUAGGAUGGCCUUUCAAUUUUUAGGAUUUCAUUCCUAACACGUUUUUAAAUGACCGGUAAAUUCAAGAUGAAUGAAUAUAACAUUCUAAAUAUCUAAUAUUUUCAAAUUGAUGACAAAUAUUAAUAUUUGUCGCAAAUCUCUCUAUAUAAGUGCAAUAUUUUUUAUAUAAUGAAUUAUAGAAAUAAAUAAAUAAUAAAAAAAUAAAUAAUAAAUUUAAAAUCAAUAAUUUAUUUUAAUAUAUUAUUUUAAAUUCAUUUAAAUUAUUUUAACUUAGCAUCGAUAAUGUAUAAAUUUUAAAUCAGUUUUAAUUAUAUUUAUUUUUUUAAAUAUUUUUUAUAUAAUUAAAUAUAAGAAAAUAAUUUUUAAAUUUUUUUUUAUUUCAAGUUAUCUCGUGAAUUCACCGAUAAAAACUGAAACAAUAUUUUAAAAUAAUAAUAGUGUUUUAGUAAAAUAAAAUAAUUAAUAAUGUUAUAUAUUUAAUAUUUUUAAAAUUUAAAAAUAAAUCAAAUAAGUAUUUUUAUAUAAAAUAACCAAAUAUCAUAAUUGCCCAAUUUAAUGGAAUAGACACAUCCAAGCCCACCCUGAAUACUAAGUUUGGGUCGUGGUGUAAGAAAUAGGAAUAAUAUAAGUUGCAUUCCUAAUUUUCCUUAUUUGAUUAUUUAAAUUAAUGAAAAUUUAUUUUUAUUAAUUUUAGAUUUUUAGUUUAUUAUUUUUAAAGUAUGUUUGAAAGUAAAUAUAAAAAACGUUUUUAAUAUUUUUAAUAUUUAAAUAAAAUUAUUUUUUUAAGUAUUAAAAAUAUUAAAAGCGUUUUUUUUUUUGUCAUUAUCAAAUCGGAUGUUAAUAUUUUAUAAGAAUAUGCGCAUGCCAGGUUGGCGUUUGGUAAGUCUGGUGACCGAUCAACAGCUGUUAGCGUUGAGGUGGGGUCUACGCUCCCCUCUUCAACCACGCUACGCAUUCCAUCCCCUCUGAUACACCUCCACACACUCCUGACUCCCCUUCGUCUCCUCUUCGUCCUGUCUGGCUCGUAGAUCAUGUAGGAAUCUAAACGAAAAUCCCAUAGGUUUAAUAAAUAUUAUAUUUAUAAAAUUAUUUCUAAAUCUACAAUAUUUUCAAAAAAUCGAAUUAAUAAUUAUCUUUUAUCAAACAACUUGAAUUAAAAUUUGAAAAAGAUAAUUUUCAUAUUUAAACUGAAAUUAUGUUUCGAAAAGAUAACCUUCAAUUGUUAUUAAAAAAAAUAAUGUUUCAACAUUGGAGAGUUUACCGUCACUGCUCUACCACCAAGCCAUGGAUCACAUUCUUCGUAUCCCUCUCCAAAGCUAUUUUUACCUCUCAUCUUUUCUCUUCUCUGUUCCCUUGAAUCACUGAGUAUGUAUAGAGAUUUACUUUGCUGUUACCUCCUCACUCACUUUUCUCUUCUCUGUUCCCUUGAAUCACUGAGUAUGCAUAGAGAUUUACUUUGCUGUUACCUCCUCUCUCACUUUUCUCUUCUCGCCCUCUUGAAUUAGUGAGUACCCAUAGAAAUUUUCUUUCUUGCUGACUCCUCUCUUCUCUUUUCGCUCUGUCGAAAGAGUGGGUAUGCACUAUGCAUAGAGUUUUACUUUGUUGUUGCCUCCCCUCUCUCGACUCUCAUCUUCCCUUCUUGCUCUCUUGAAUCACUGGGUAUCCACAGAUAUUUACACUGUCGGAUCGUAUUGAAUUUAUUCUUCCUUAUUUAAUAAACAAUCGUCUAAAUGAAAACAUGAACAGUUAAUGUUCGUAUGGUUAGAUUAAAAAGGCCCCUCAAAACCCCAUUUUUAAAAUUUAAUCUCCCACCAUUUUUUUGGCAUCAUAAAAAUAUUCCCAUUAUUUUCUUGUAAAAAUAAUUAUUUUUUUUAAAACCUACAUGCAAAUACUUAAAAUAAAAAAUGAUAUUUAUAUCAAAAAAUAAAUUAUUUUUUCAGAAAAAACAUGAAAAAGAGUUAGAUUUUCGAUUUUGGGAAAUAUUUUAUCACUUUUAACCAAAUAUUUCUAAAAUCAUUUCUUUUUUGCUGCUUUUUUUUUUUUUUUUUCGAAUAUUUAUACAAAUUUUAGUUUUUUGUUACACGUACAAAUGGUGUAAAAGCCCUCAGACCACAUUUCUUUCCGAUUUGGUGCAGGGUUGAGUAAAUAUUUCAGGAAGGAGUCCCCUUGGAUUCUUGAACGUCCAACUCAUGCUCUGCUACCAUGAUGCAUGAGUCAGCUUCCAGAGAUGAGGCUGAGCUUUUAUCCUUCAACAAUGAUUCUUU
rnacentral:lncRNA from 1 species